CACAUGCAAGUCGAACGAAGUUAGGAAGCUUGCUUCUGAUACUUAGUGGCGGACGGGUGAGUAAUGCUUAGGAAUCUGCCUAGUAGUGGGGGAUAACUUGGGGAAACCCAAGCUAAUACCGCAUACGACCUACGGGUGAAAGGGGGCGCAAGCUCUCGCUAUUAGAUGAGCCUAAGUCGGAUUGGCUAGUUGGUGGGGUAAAGGCCUACCAAGGCGACGAUCUGUAGCUGGUCUGAGAGGAUGAUCAGCCACACUGGGACUGAGACACGGCCCAGACUCCUACGGGAGGCAGCAGUGGGGAAUAUUGGACAAUGGGCGAAAGCCUGAUCCAGCCAUGCCGCGUGUGUGAAGAAGGCCUUUUGGUUGUAAAGCACUUUAAGUGGGGAGGAAAAGCUUAUGGUUAAUACCCAUAAGCCCUGACGUUACCCACAGAAUAAGCACCGGCUAACUCUGUGCCGGCAGCCGCGGUAAUACAGAGGGUGCAAGCGUUAAUCGGAAUUACUGGGCGUAAAGCGCGCGUAGGUGGUUAUUUAAGUCAGAUGUGAAAGCCCCGGGCUUAACCUGGGAACUGCAUCUGAUACUGGAUAACUAGAGUAGGUGAGAGGGGAGUAGAAUUCCAGGUGUAGCGGUGAAAUGCGUAGAGAUCUGGAGGAAUACCGAUGGCGAAGGCAGCUCCCUGGCAUCAUACUGACACUGAGGUGCGAAAGCGUGGGUAGCAAACAGGAUUAGAUACCCUGGUAGUCCACGCCGUAAACGAUGUCUACCAGUCGUUGGGUCUUUUAAAGACUUAGUGACGCAGUUAACGCAAUAAGU
rnacentral:rRNA from 1 species